rnacentral:lncRNA from 1 species
GCAUUGCACGCACCUGAGCUCCCCGGGCUGGCCCGGCCUUCCGCCACGUGCUCCGUCACUGCUUCAGGCCGGGACUCAGCACUGCCACUACAGAUGGGGUGGUGGCACAUGGGGAGGAUGGGGAUGCCAUGGGAUGGUGGCACAUGGAAGGGUGGAGACGUUAUGCGAUGGUGGCACAGGAACAGGAUUGAGAUGCGGUGGGAUGGUGGCAUAGGGACAGGAUGGAGAUGCCCGAGGAUGGUGGUACAUGGAAGGAUGGAGAUGGGGUGGGAUGGUGGCACAUGGAAGGGUGGAGGUGUUCAGAAAUGGUGACACAUGGGCAGAGUGGAGGUGCUGUGGGAUGGUGGCACAUGGGAGGAUGGAGACAUCCAGUUUGGCACAGGGACAGGACGGAGAUGCGGUGGGAUGGUGGCACAUGGAAGGAUGGAGACGGUAUGCGAUGGUGGCACAGGGACAGGAUGGAGAUGUGGUGGGAUGGUGGCACAUGGAAGGGUGGAGACAUCCAGUUUGGCACAGGGACAGGAUGGGGAUGCGAUGGGAUGGUGGCACAGGGAUAGGACGGAGGCGCUGAGAAGCGGCGGCGCAGGGCAGGUGGG